rnacentral:rRNA from 1 species
GACGAACGCUGGCGGCGUGCUUAACAAAUGCAAGUCGAACGGAAAGGCCCUGCUUUUGUGGGGGGCUCGAGUGGCGAACGGGUGAGUAACACGUGAGUAACCUGCCCUUGACUUUGGGAUAACUUCAGGAAACUGGGGCUAAUACCGGAUAGGAGCUCCUGCUGCCUGGUGGGGGGUGGAAAGUUUCGGCGGUUGGGGAUGGACUCGCGGCUUAUCAGCUUGUUGGUGGGGUAGUGGCUUACCAAGGCUUUGACGGGUAGCCGGCCUGAGAGGGUGACCGGCCACAUUGGGACUGAGAUACGGCCCAGACUCCUACGGGAGGCAGCAGUGGGGAAUAUUGCACAAUGGGCGGAAGCCUGAUGCAGCAACGCCGCGUGCGGGAUGACGGCCUUCGGGUUGUAAACCGCUUUCGCCUGUGACGAAGCGUGAGUGACGGUAAUGGGUAAAGAAGCACCGGCUAACUACGUG